rnacentral:rRNA from 1 species
GACGAACGCUGGCGGCGUGCCUAAUACAUGCAAGUCGAACGCUUCUUUCCUCCCGAGUGCUUGCACUCAAUUGGAAAGAGGAGUGGCGGACGGGUGAGUAACACGUGGGUAACCUACCCAUCAGAGGGGGAUGACACUUGGAAACAGGUGCUAAUACCGCAUAACAGUUUAUGCCGCAUGGCAUAAGAGUGAAAGGCGCUUUCGGGUGUCGUUGAUGGAUGGACCCGCGGUGCAUUAGCUAGUUGGUGAGGUAACGGCUCACCAAGGCCACGAUGCAUAGCCGACCUGAGAGGGUGAUCGGCCACACUGGGACUGAGACACGGCCCAGACUCCUACGGGAGGCAGCAGUAGGGAAUCUUCGGCAAUGGACGAAAGUCUGACCGAGCAACGCCGCGUGAGUGAAGAAGGUUUUCGGAUCGUAAAACUCUGUUGUUAGAGAAGAACAAGGACGUUAGUAACUGAACAUCCCCUGACGGUAUCUAACCAGAAAGCCACGGCUAACUACGUG